UACAGAGGUCCCAAGCGUUGUUCGGAUUCACUGGGCGUAAAGGGUGCGUAGGCGGUCGGGUAAGUCUGAUGUGAAAUCUCACAGCUUAACUGUGAAACUGCAUUGGAUACUAUCCGGCUUGAGGAAUGGAGGGGAGACUGGAAUACUUGGUGUAGCAGUGAAAUGCGUAGAUAUCAAGUGGAACACCAGUGGCGAAGGCGAGUCUCUGGACAUUUCGUGACGCUGAGGCACGAAAGCCAGGGGAGCAAACGGG
rnacentral:rRNA from 1 species